UGUGGAGAAAUUAAUGGGCCCAAUACAAGUUUACAAGUGUGAAGCCCAGAGUACCAUUUUUCAUGACUUGGUGGACCUAAUUGAAAGGAUCCAUGGUACAAGGGGACCACAAAAAAGAAAAGGCCAACUUAUGUUUGACACCAAUCAUAGGCCUUGGCCCACAUGAUGAAGAAUCAACAAAGCAAGAUGCGAAUGAAGAUAAUGGUAAUGGUGGUAAGAACUUCAUUGAUGUGGAGAUCGCAUUGGACCCAAAUUUACACAUCGGCGAGGAGGCGACCCUUAUCAAGCCCCCCCCAACCCAAUGGAGCUACCUUCGUGGAACUGCCGGGGAAUGGCACGAACCCCGACAACCCAAGCCCUAAAAGCUCGGAUAGAAAGAAUAAAAAAAGAUUGUGUGUUCCUCGUGGAAACAAAAAUCCUAGGGGAAAACAUGAAAUGAGUGGGAAGGAGAUUGGGAUUUGUUCAUGAUGAAGCCGUAAAUUCUAGAGGUUUGGCAGGCAGUAUAUGUUUGUUACGGAAGGAAGACAUGUGGCCGAGUAUUACCACCUUUACUAGAUAACAUGAUCAAAGCUUGUGUUUGGGAAGUAGAGGAAGCUAUGCAAUGGACUUUGUUUGCUACCUAUGGGACCCCGUAUGAUGCUUAGAAGCAGGAUUUCUGGGGAGACCUCAAGGCAAAAGUUAGUCUAUGUGAAACUCCUUGGGAAUUGAGGGGGACUUGGAUGUCUUUCUAUCAGAAAAUGAGAAGUAAGGUGGCAACAAAGUAAGCUCAAAUGAUACUGAAAUCUUGAGAGAUUUCUUGACAGGUUCGGGAGGAAUUGACCUGGGUUGCAGGGGAGGCCGAUUUACAUGGAAAAAUAACAUAUUCAAGGGUGGCUUAAUCAGAGAAUGACUAGACAGAGCCAUUGUGUCAAAUGAUUGGGUCCCCCUCUUCCCAAAGGUUCUAUGAGGCAUGGUCUAGGGAUGGUAGUUGUCAGGAAGUUAUAGCUAAGGAUUGGGGUCAAGAAACUCAGGUACUCGGGCCUCAACGACUAUUCAUAAAUCUGGAAAACACAGAGAGAGCCUUACAGGCGUGGAACAAAAAGGUGUUUGGAAAACCAGAGAAAAAAAAUCAGAAUGAUUGAAGAAAAGAUAGGUUGGAUUCAACAACAACCCAUGAGUGAUGCACUUAUUGCCAAGGAGGAAGGUCUACAAAUUGUAUUGAAAGAAUUGUGGAAGCAAAAAUAGCUAGUUUGGAGGCCGCAAUCUAGAGAAUUGUGGCUUCAAAAAGGGGAUAGAAACAAAAGAUUCUUUCACGCUUCUACCAUAAUAAGCCGUAGAAGAAACCACACAUGAGAACUUAGAGACAUGAAUAGGAAGUUGAAGGAAAAAUGAAACGAAAUGGCAGACAUAUAAAAUAACUUCUUCAUUGGUUUGUUCAAUUCAAGUGACCCUCAAAUCAGUGAAGAGCUGGAAAUCAUUUAUUGUAACAAGAUCAUGGGGGAAGAGAAUCUAAGACUGUGCAAAAUUCCUAGCAGAAACUGCAUCCAAAGGACAUUACUCGAGAUGCAUCCUUUGAAAGCUUUGGGACCUGAUGGUAUCUCAGGAUGUUUUUACAGUCAAUAUUGAGAGAACAUUGGGAACUGAGUUACUAAAUAUAUGCAAGAUUUAUUUAGAACUUCCACUUUGGACCCGAGACUGAAGUACUCAUUCUUAUGCCUUAUUCCAAAAACUUUGAAGGCAGAAGUUAUGGAAAGCUUUUGUCCAAAUAGUUUAUGUAACUUUGUCUACAAAAUCAUUUCUAGGAUUUUAUCGAAUAGACUCCACAGAGUGAUGGAUAGGAUCAUAUCCCCGUUUCAAUUUGGGUUCAUCCCAGGAAGGUGGAUUACGGAGUCUUCCAUUUUGACCCAAGAGCUUGUUCACACGAUAAAAAAAGAAAAGGGUAAGGGAGGGAUCAUGGCCAUCAAAAUGGAUAUGCAUAAGCCUAUGAUAGAAUGGAGUGGAAGUUUUUACUACGAGUGCUACGUGCUAAUGGCUUCAACGAAAUUUUUUUGCAGCCUUAUUAUGAGUUGUGUCACUUCAGUAUCAUUCUCUGUUUUAUUGAUUGGUUCUCUGCUGAGAAAGUUCUAUCCUCAAAGGGGUUUGAGACAAGAUGAUCUAUUAUCCCCAUUCUUGUUCCUUUUAUGUAACAAAGUGUUGUCAAAACUAAUUUCAUGAGAAUAGAACUGCAGAGAGGUUCAAGGGAUAAAAAUAGCAAGAACAACCCCUUCCAUAUCGCACUCGAUGUUAGUAGAUGACAACAUCUUAUUUGGCAGAGAAGACAAGGAGGUGACAGUCCUCAAUGACUGCGUAAAAAAGUAUGAAGCUUGGUCAGGCAAAGAUGCAACAAGCAGAAAUCUAGUAUCCUCUUUUCGAACAACCUCAAGCCAAGUAAGGAUGGAAUUAAGAAGAAUAUUACAAUUGGAAGAUGUAAAAGGAAAUGAGAAACACCUGGGCAACCCUUUCAUUUUACAGAGGAAAAAAAGAAAAGACUAUGAAAGGCUCAAAGAGAGGAUGAUGGUAAAGCUAGAGGGUUGGUCAAUGAAAACACUAUCCAAUGCUGGAAAAAAAGGUCAUGAUCAAUGUAGUUGUAGGUAAUAUACCUAUAUACACAAUGUCCACUUUCCAGGUAUCAAUUAGUGUUUGCUGAGAGUUGGAUGCAUUAGUUAGAAAAUAUUAGUGGAUAGGGGACAUAACCAAAAAUCGUUUUGUUGCUACAAAAGCUUGGGAUAGUGUUUGUCAAUCGAAAAUAUGUGGAGGGUUGGGGUUAUUGAAAUUUGAGGACACUAAUAGAGCAUUACUUGCAAAAUUGGCUUGGAAUGUGGCUGCUAGACAUGAUAAACCAUGGGUUAAGUCGAUGCUAGCGAAAUACUGUAGAAAAAAGUCCUUUUGGGAAGUUGGGCAUAAGGCUUCAGGCUCAGGCACAUGGAAAGGGAUUGUGAGUGUGAAGAAUAUCAUCACAAGAGGUAGCUCAAGUAUAAUUGGUGAUGGCAGGAAGAAGACAUUCGAUACCAACCAUGGAUACCAUAGCUAAAGUACAAUGAAUUUAGGGACACAAUGGAGACAAUUUGACAAAGGGCUCCUCACUUGAAGGUGUUGUCUGACUUAUUUAUGGAUGAACGCAGAGAAUGGAAUACUCCCAUGCUUUAUGAUCUGUUUGGACAGACUGUGGGUGAAUAGAUAAGAAAAAAUCAAAUACUGCAACAAAGGGAGGAGGAUUUGGUGGUGUGGAAAAUGGAUACUAAUGGAACUUUAAACAUGAAAGAGACUUAAUGGGAAUACCAAGGAUAUAGAUUUAAUGAGUGCGAUCCAAUUUGAAGGAAGAUAUGGAAACCACACAUUCACCCAAGACACGAUAUAAUAUUGUGGAUGGCUAUUUCGGGGCACCAAGGGAAAGCUUAGGUUUAUGAAGAAGCACACAUGUCCAAUACCUAAAGAGGAACGAGAAUCAGAGGUUUGCCUCUUUAUCAAGUGUCCCUUAGCUAGAGCUUUAUGGUUUUCCAGUCCUCUCAAUGUGAGGAUAGAUCCAAUUCAUGCAGAAAAACUCAAGGAAUUCAUUAACAUUCUUUUGGACUCAGUGGAAGGAAUUUCUAAAGUGAAUCUCCUUACAAUGAAAACUUGCAUCGUAGAUGUGGUAUGGAGAGCAAGAAACCAGGCGUGGAAAUUUGGAGCCAAACCAGAUUUAGACGAUUUGCAAUUCCAAGUGAUGGCGAGGUACAAGGAAUUCCCAGAACAACAAAAUGAAUGGUGUGAUACUCCAAGGAAAGUUGAGAAAAAGGAGAGUCAAUUAAUUAUUUGUAUCCCCGUGGAUAUGAUAAUAUUCGUUGAUGCAUCUCAUAAGUCAGAGGAGACAGGAAUAGCAGCAGUUACCACUCAAAAAGAUGCUUGGUUUUGGUGGUCAUCAUGCACAAAAGUCCAAACCAUAAACCUUCUACAUGGUGAAAGUUAGCAAUUCAGCAUGCACUUACAUGGGCCAAGAAGGAGGGAUGGCAGAGGAUAACUAUAUUUUUAGACUUCUUAGUGCUAGUGAAGGCACUAACUGAGGAAGGAAAUUGCCUUGAUUGGAAGCUCAUGUCAUGUUUUUACAGUAUUAAGAAUUUAGUUAGUAGUUUUUGGGUAUGUAUGUUUCAGUAUGUAAGGAGAGUGGAUAACUGUGUAGCGGAUGGUUUGGCUGAAACAGUUAAAGUAUCUAGCAAUUGUGCCAAUGUUUCUCAAAGGAAGGGACCCCCUCCUGUGGUACCCAUCUUAAAUUAUUGAUUAAUGAAUGUUUGUUCCAGCAAAAAAAAAGGCAUCAUUUUGCAUCAAGUCAACAUUGUUUUGUAUUUGCAUUAAGCCGGAAUCGUUUCACAUCGAGCAGGCAUCGAUUCCGAGUAGAUUGAUGCCAAUGCAAAAUGAUGCCAAUUCGAUGGUAAAAUGAUCCUUGCUUGAUGAAACAUUAUUUUCUA